CCAUGUGCGGCUGAUGACAGCACUGCUGCUGAGACUCUGUGAUUGCUUAGUCUCAAAGUAAACGCUCUGACGCACCUGCC
rnacentral:snoRNA from 2 species